AGUGAACGCUGGCGGUAGGCCUAACACAUGCAAGUCGAACGGCAGCACAGUAAGAGCUUGCUCUUACGGGUGGCGAGUGGCGGACGUGUGAGGAAUACAUCGUAAUCUACUUUUUCGUGGGGGAUAACGUAGGUAAACUUACGCUAAUACCGCAUACGACCUACGGGUGAAAGCAUUGGAUCUUCGGACCUUGCGCGAUUGAAUGAGCCGAUGUCGGAUUAGCUAGUUGGCGGGGUAAAGGCCCACCAAGUCGACGAUCCGUAGCUGGUCUGAGAGGAUGGUCAGCCACACUGGAACUGAGCCACGGUCCAGACUACUACGGGAGGCAGCAGUGGGGAACAUUGGACAAUGGGCGGAAGCAUGAUACAGCCAUAGCGAGUGGGUGAAGAAGGCCUUCGGGUUGUAAAGCCCUUUUGUUGGGAAAGAAAAGCAGCAGGUUAAUACCCAGCUGUUCUGACGGUACCCAAAGAAUAAGCACCGGCUAACUUCGUG
rnacentral:rRNA from 1 species